GAAAUGCGAUUAGUAGUGUGAAUUGCAGAAUUCAGUGAAUCAUCGAAUCUUUGCACGCACAUUGCGCCCUUUGGUAUUCCAAAGGGCAUGCCUGUUCGAGCGUCAUUUGUACCCUCAAGCUUUGCUUGGUGUUGGGCGUCUUGUCUCUAGCUUUGCUGGAGACUCGCCUUAAAGUAAUUGGCAGCCGGCCUACUGGUUUCGGAGCGCAGCACAAGUCGCACUCUCUAUCAGCAAAGGUCUAGCAUCCAUUAAGCCUUUUUUUCAACUUUUGACCUCGGAUCAGGUAGGGAUACCCGCUGAACUUAAGC
rnacentral:misc_RNA from 1 species